UUUUAGUAUUUAUGUGACCCAUUUUAUUGUGUUUUUUUUUUUUUUGCGAGAAGACACAUUUUGUUCUCAAGGCUGAGCAGUUUCUUCAGUUGAGAGCCAUGACAGCAGUAACACAAGAGGGUUUCCAGUUUGAUGCUAAGCAUUAAGAGGUUACAACAGCUAGAUGGCUCACCUGAUGGGAUGGAAGUGAUUGUUAAGUUCUCUCGGAAGAGAAAAUAUAUAUUAUUUGUGCCUUACACUGGAAAAUUACUUGAGCCAUUGAAUAAUAAAGAAGGGCCCAACCUUUAAUAUGAGGUCAGGUGUACAACGCCCUUGGAUGCAACAGACUUGACGAGGCAAUCAAUAAAACUGAAAAGUCAGUAGAGUUCCAAACAGUCUAUGGGACGUUAACAACCUAGGCACCUGUACAGGCGGUUGAAGGAUCUUCAAACAUUUGAGGAGGUAUUGUUCUUUCACUGAACAACAAAAUCGUUUCUAGAGACCACCUUUAAUCACAAGUAGACAUAUACAAUAUCGACCUGUUGAAAUUAGAAAUGUGAUAUGUGUGUACCUAUUCUGUGCAAUAUUGUGGUAUCUCAAUUUUGUACAGUGGUGUUAUGUACAAGAUCAAACCAUCAGCGUACUCCAUUUGAAAUGGCAUAAUACAUUUUGUAGUCUA